rnacentral:rRNA from 1 species
UACAUGGGGUGCAAACGUUGCUCGGAAUUAUUGGGCGUAAAGCGCACGUAGGCGGUUCGUUAAGUCGGAUGUGAAAGCCCUCGGCUCAACUGAGGAAGUGCACCCGAAACUGGCGAGCUUGAGUACGAAAGAGGGUCGCGGAAUUCCCGGUGUAGAGGUGAAAUUCGUAGAUAUCGGGAGGAACACCGGUGGCGAAGGCGGCGACCUGGGACAAUACUGACGCUGAGGUGCGAAAGCGUGGGGAGCAAACAGG